rnacentral:rRNA from 1 species
AAAUGAGGGGGACGCAGGUGAUGCAGCCAUGCCGCGUGAGUGAAGAAGGCCUUCGGGUUGUAAAGCUCUUUCAGCCGGGAAGAAAUCGCAUGGGCUAGUACCCUGUGCUGGAUGACGAGUCCGGAAUAACAACCACCGGCAUACUACGUGCCAGCAGCCGCGGUAGUACUUAUGGUGCGAGCGUUAGUCGGAAUUACUGGGCGUAAGGCGUGCGCAGGCGGUUUUUUAAGAUAGGCGUGAGAUCCCCGGGCUCAACCUGGGAACUGCGCUUAAGACUGGAAGACUAGAGUAUGGCACAGGGGGGUGGAAUUCCACGUGUAGCAAUGAAAUGCGUAAAGAUGUGGAGGAACACCGAUGGCGAAGGCGACCCCCUGGGCCGAGACUGACGCUCAUGCACGAAAGCGUGGGGAGCAAACAGGAUUAGAUACCCUGGUAGUCCACGCCCUAAACGAUGUCAACUAGGUGUUGGGUGGGUAAAACCAUUUAGUACCGUAGCUAACGCGUGAAGUUGACCGCCUGGGGAGUACGGCCGCAGGGUUA